rnacentral:lncRNA from 1 species
AGAGGCGAGGCAGCCGUGAGGCGGAGGACAGGCUGGGGGAUCCCAAAGGGUCCGCUCCGGCCCCCACCCCAGGCACUGGGACUCUGGUGGCACCCUGGGUGGCAGGCAAGCCUUGAAGUCAAGUGCACGAGCCUUGGAAAGGAGGACCGGGAGAGUUAUGGCAUUUAUGAAUGAAGAAGAGAAAGAAUCACUCGGAGGGGAAAAGUUAACUGGAUUGUUCCCAACUGCAUGGAUCACCGGAAGCAACUUAGCCAUCUUGCCUUGUGGCCUGGAACCCCUGGCAAUUUCCGGAGCACCAGCAAGAGACUUUUGCACAGUUUCUGCUUGGAGUCUACCGACUCUCUGUCUCAGAGGUCUGGACAGCUACUUGUUAUAUUUGGCUCACGCUAGCUUAAAAAAGGAAUUUAUGGACCUUACUGCAGAACUUCCCAAUUCUUCAGGCCAGGGUCCAGCUGUGCCUCCAGGGCUGCGUGGCUUAUUGAAAAAGAGAGUGUAUGGUGGAUUUCAAUAUCUAUAUUCUACAAAAAAUGUAAAAGGGGCAGG